UCCCUCCUCCAUUUCCCUCCCCUCUUUUCUCUCAUCCUCAAUCCUGGGCCAGCUUCAGAAGGAAGAGGGUGGAGGCGGAGUGCCGUUACCUAGGAAACAGCAACUUGGGGCGGAGUGCCGUCACUUAGGAAACAGCAGCUUGGGGAGGAGUCCCGUCGCCCAGGAAACAGCAUCUUGGCGUCAGUUUUCUCUGCCUGAUGUUUCUCAGGUCUCGGGCUGGGAUUUUUUCCUGGCUAUAAUAUUUAGGCAGAUCAUAGGCAUGCACGUGGGAAGAUUAGCCUUUGCCUCUCUUAAGAAGGGACCCUGGAGGCGGAGUGGUGCCAGGAUGUCUCAAGUGCCUGCUCCACACCCUCCCUCCCUGGCCUCCCCACCUCCUAAUUCUUGCCUUCCCUACAUCCAUGGAUCAAAGUGAACUCUGUCAAUUCCUUGGACCGUUAGAAUUUUUCAUUUUGUGCCCUAAUUAUGGGAAACAAAAAAAGAUCCCUGAAAUUUGUCUCUUUUAAAAAGUUUUAUUUCCCAUAGACAGAUUUAUUGAUAUCUUUUGUUUUUACAAACAAUGAAUAAACAUUUAUUAAACAUCUAUUUACCAGACACUGCUAAAUUUGGGGGGCAAAAGGAAGUCCCUGCUAUCAAAGAGCUCAGUCUAAUGGAGAGACAACUUGCAAACAAUUAAAGACAAGAUAUAUGCUGGAUAAAUUGAAGAUAAUCACAGAGAGGAGGCAUUGGCAUUAAAGGGAAUCAGAGAGAGACUUCCUGCAAAAGAAUGAGUUGGAGAAGGAAAUGACAAAUGACUCCAGCAUCUUUGCCAAGAAAACUCCAAAGGGUCACAAAGAAUCUGAUGCUACUGAAAACGACUAAGCAACAACAAACAACUGAUUGGAUGAGGAAACUGAAGUUUGGAGAUGUUAAGUGACUUAUCUGAGCUCCUUUGGGCACUGAGCGACCAGCCUAUACUUUUAUUCCACCUCCUUUGAUUCUUCUACCACUCCAUGCUGCCUCCUUGGUAAGGAAAGACCUAAGAAGUCCUUUUUACUAAUCUGAAAUAAAUUGUCUCCCAUAUUGAGGCAGAUAUACUCUGAAUGACUUUUGGAAACAGUACUUUGAGUAAUUUGAAAUAAUGGCUUCAGAUCUAUAUUACUAUAAUUUUUCUGAUUGGCCUCAUUAUAGUGGUCACUUAAAGCUGGCCUUUAUUUUCUAUCCUUUUUUAUAAUAUUUCUUUGCAUUGCCUGCCUCCCUUUGCUUUGUUUGCACCCAGCCCUGACAAGUUUAGAUCCCUAAAGUCAGUGGGUCCAAUUUGCUUUUAGAAUAAAAGGCUGUAUUCUUACUCAAGGAAAAAAUGCAAUUGAUUUUUUGUUCAGGAAACUGAAAUAAUUUAGACCUUAUUUACUAGUACUGACAACUUUGUUCAAUUGAUCUUAUUAUCUUUAUAUUUCUUCCAAUGAUAGGAAAUUACUUUACACAUGUUAGAUGGUUAAUAAAUGGUUGUUGAAUGAAUGUUAAUGAUUAGCCAUUUAGGGCUCCAAAAGAGCAAUUCAGAA